AAACCAGACAGAGACGCACGCAAGAGGGGUGCAGUCUUGGACAUUUUAGUAUUAUAAUCUCUCUGCCGAAUGGCGGUCGUAGUUUCCGUUCCUGGAGGAAAAAAAGCAGCUGCUACUACUUUCGACUGCAUCAGGUAUUAUAUAUUAUUUCUGGCUGUAUUCUUACUAACUUAAAACAUUUAAGAGUUGGUGUCUGGUUUCUAUUCGUGUUGGAAAGUACUGUUGGUAGUGCCAAAAAUAGUUGCGGUGGAAAUUGACAGUUUUUCUCGGAAGGGUUUUCAUUUGGUUGCACGAGACGAAAUUAAUGUUUCAAGUUAAUGCGGAAAUGAAUUGAAGAUCAUGACUCGGGCAAUAGGUUCAACGACUUUUGGAUGGAGGAUGGGUAAAAAAGGGGGGGUGGGGACGCGCUGGCGCACAGGGUUGUUGGUUGGAACUAAACCCAGGGAAAACUUUUUUGGGAUGGCCCCUUUGUUCGUCCCCUUUCCAACCCCUACUAAAAAGAGGGGGGAAAAAAUGGCCGACUACUAGCGCCUCUAGCAGCCGACAGUGAGGGUCACCAUCGAGCAGGGGAAAAAUGCAGACAACUGCUGGCUCGUUUCCCACACAGUAUUUUUCUUGGAAGUUGCCUUUUUUCGUAACUAUUUGUCGUCGUUCCACCUUCCUUUUCUUUCUCCAUCAAAAUCUAGAUCCUGGGAAGGUCGUGUGUUUUUGAACUGGGAAAGAGACACAACAGAAAGGAAUGUUCCGGUGCGGAAAUGCCAGCCCAACCAAAAAGCUUCCGGUUGAGGAUGACUUGUUAGAAAGCGUAGAAUAUUGCGGCUAAAAGUUAUGCGCAAUAAAGUGGGUGGAGGAUCUAAAAAUAAGAGAAAAGUCGAUGACCUGGGCCGAGAAAAAAUAAGAAACAUCCCCCCUCUCACGUCAACGACGUCUUGUAACGACCUUGAAAUGGAAACAAACCGGCCUGCCGAUGCCCCCAAGGACGACGACGACGACGGCCAAUGGAAGACAGCAACCACACGUGCCGGUCGUCCCGUCAUUCAUGGAACGACCUCCGUUCCAGAAAAAACACAAUUUCCGAGAUAGGAUUAAUUUUUUCGACGUAUCACUUAAAGUUUCUAGAAUCCCUUCACUUCACAUUUUAUUUCUAGCAGAAAUAAAACCAAACCGUGUGUGGGAAACCGGUUCGAUAACCAUAAGGUUUUUUCGUUUCUUUGAAAGUCAAGAAGGAAAUUUUUUAAGUGGUUUUACAGCAGCAGCAGCAGGGGGAAAGUUAGAGAGCGUCCGUGAUCGAGAAGAAGAUGGUUUCAAGUUUCACGAUGGCUGCCAAGGGGAGAAGAACUGGAGGGCAGGUGGAACGGAAACGGGUGGGAGGGUAACAGACUUUUAUCACGUGGAGGGGCCACGAUAUUUUUGAAUAAGAUGGCGAUUUGGUGUAAAGCAGCAACCCACCUUCGAUAUCUAUUUAAGGUGGAACAGCCCACACAGUCCCCCCCUAGUGACGUCAUUGUGAGGGAGUGACAAAUUUGUGUAUGUGUGGGGGGGAGCAGGCGGCUAAAAUUGUUGAGUCACCAGCGGCUGAGCAAUCGAGUCCGAUAGGUCAACAGCUGACAAGAUUUCACCAUCGUGUGUAUACGUGAGUGUGUGAUUCACUAACUUUCUACAUGACUGGGGGUGUUGUGUGUCUCUCUUUCCAUUCCAGAAAAUUCUAAAUUAUUUCCGACCAGCCUUGGGAUUCAUUUCAACCAGAAGGAAAAGUUUGCAACCGCAAAUGUCGAAAUGUCUGCAACAAUGCAAACACCUGGUGGUGGUUGAUCCUUUUCCAGGAAUGCUGCUGCUGUCGUUGAUUAGAUCACAUAAGGGAAAGAAGGUCGGCCCUGACGUUGUGACGUCAUUCCGCCUCGCCGACAUUCCAGUGAUUUCCACAGAAAACCGUUUUCUGUGUGCGUGUGUGUGUGGGUUGGCGGAUGGAAAAAUAAAAAGCCAGACAGCAGACGGGGUGUGUGGGUCCGAGAGAAAGGAGGAGCUUCCCACACCGGCUAAAAACCCGCCCACUUUUUCCCCCUUGGGGAGCCGGUUGGUGAGGGGAGGGCUAGCCAUAGCCAUGAGCCGCCGCAGAUUCACCAACCAGUCUUCAUCCGGCUGUUCUCCCGUUAACACUUGCUUCUCCCCCUUCUCUCUCAUUCAUAGUGUGUCUUGUUAAUACUUUUAGGUUAUCGCAUUAAGUUAAACAUUAUGGCUUUUAAGUUUUAGUGAAUUGAAAUUGUUUUAGUGACUUCAAAUUGUUAUUAAUUCUUCUUCGAGAAUACGACGACAACCAUUUCACAUUAUUACUACUGGCCACUCCCCGUGCUGCGACAGGUGCUUCCGGCUGUGUUAAUAAUUGCGAGUCAGGUACCUGAAGUAGCGCGCGGAGUGGCUCGGAACGAUCUCCAUUUUACUGGUGCUGCCGCCGCCACCGACAUCCAUUCUCUCCCUCCCCCUCAAUUUUUCGUUAUGUGAAUUCCCGACCGUCUCUAUUGGCCUCAUUUUUACCCGUCAUCGAUCCAGGAUGUCAGUAAAUGCCAUAUCACCUUUAAUCUGAUGAUGUUGCAACUAUUUAUUUUUAUAUUUUCGGCCUCGUCUGGUGGAUUACGUAACUCGAGAUUUUUAUUUUCCCGAUUCGUUCAAAAGUGAAAAUUCCUCAUUGUGUGCGUUCGCGUGUGCCAUUUCUUAAUUUGACAUCGACAACGCCCAAGAGAGAAAAGAGAAGCACCUGUUGUUCAUUGUACUUCAUCAGGUGCUCUGGUCAAUCGUACGUGAACGUUUCCUUUCUGGAAAUCAUAUUCCCGGCACCUGCUGGAGUGCAAUUGAUGCGAAAGUGCAUUCUGCAUCCAUCUUUUUCUCUCUUUUGUUAUUGCGUUGUUUCAUCAAUGUAAUCAUGUUGUCAUGGACUAUGUAUGAAUUUUUCGUACCAAUAAACUCGUGUGUUUCUUUUUGAA